rnacentral:rRNA from 1 species
UACGGGGGGAGCAAGCGUUGUUCGGAUUUACUGGGCGUAAAGGGCGUGUAGGCGGUCACGACAAGUCAGUUGUGAAAUCUCCGGGCUUAACUCGGAACGGUCAACUGAUACUGUCGGACUAGAGUGCAGAAGGGGCAACUGGAAUUCUCGGUGUAGCGGUGAAAUGCGUAGAUAUCGAGAGGAACACCUGCGGCGAAGGCGGGUUGCUGGGCUGACACUGACGCUGAGGCGCGAAAGCUAGGGGAUCAAACAGG